rnacentral:rRNA from 1 species
AGUGGCGGACGGGUGGAGUAACGCGUGGGUAACCUGCCCUGUACAGGGGGAGUAACAGUUAGAAAUGACUGCUAAUACCGCAUAAGACCACAGUACUGCAUGGUACAGUGGUAAAAACUCCGGUGGUAUGAGAUGGACCCGCGUCUGAUUAGGUAGUUGGUGAGGUAACGGCCCACCAAGCCGACGAUCAGUAGCCGACCUGAGAGGGUGAUCGGCCACAUUGGAACUGAGACACGGUCCAAACUCCUACGGGAGGCAGCAUG